rnacentral:rRNA from 1 species
GACAGAGGGUGCUAGCGUUGUUCGGAAUUACUGGGCGUAAAGGGCGCGUAGGCGGCCCGUUUAGUCGGGUGUGAAAUCCCGGGGCUCAACCCCGGAACUGCAUUCGAUACUGGCGGGCUUGAGACCGGAAGAGGUGGGUGGAAUACCCAGUGUAGAGGUGAAAUUCGUAGAUAUUCGCAAGAACACCAGUGGCGAAGGCGGCUUACUGGUCCGGUUCUGACGCUGAGGCGCGAAAGCGUGGGGAGCAAACAGG